AACACAUGCAAGUCGAGGGCAGCAUUUCUCUUUNCUGGCUGAUUGAAUACGGCCACCGGCGCACGGGUGAGUAACACGUAUCCAACCUACCGUUUACUCUCAGAUAGCCUUCCAAAGGGAAGAUUAAUACGGGAUAGUAUUAGAAUAUCACAUGAUGCUUUAAUUAAAGAAUUUCGGUAAACGAUGGGGAUGCGUUCCAUUAGAUAGUAGGCGGGGUAACGGCCCACCUAGUCGACGAUGGAUAGGGGUUCUGAGARGARGGUCCCCCACUUUGGAACUGAGACACGGUCCAAACUCCUACGGGAGGCAGCAGUGAGGAAUAUUGGUCAAUGGGCGAGAGUCUGAACCAGCCAAGUAGCGUGAAGGAUGAGGGUCCUAUGGAUUGUAAACUUCUUUUAUACAGGAAUAAAGUGAGCCACGUGUGCCUUUUUGUAUGUACUGUAUGAAUAAGCAUCGGCUAACUCCGUGCCAGCAGCCGCGGUAAUACGGAGGAUGCGAGCGUUAUCCGGAUUUAUUGGGUUUAAAGGUGCGCUGACGGUUUGUUAAGUCAGUUGUGAAAGUUUGGGGCUCAACCCUUAAAAUUGCAAUUGAUACUGGCAGACUUGAGUGCAGAUGAGGUAGGCGGAAUUCGUGGUGUAGCGGUGAAAUGCUUAGAUAU
rnacentral:rRNA from 1 species